rnacentral:rRNA from 1 species
UCUUGGUUCAGGGAUAAACGCUGGCGGCGGGCAUUAACCCAUGCAAGUUGAACCGAUGAAACCUUACUGAUUUUUUUCGGAAUGAAUUUAAGCGGAUUAGUGGCGGACGGGUGAGUAACGCGUGAGUACCCUGCCUUGGAGAAGGGGAUAGCCUUUUGAAAACGAAGAAUAAUACCCUAUGAUAUGAUAACAUCGCAUGAUAUUAUCAUCAAAGAUUUAUCGCUCUAAGAUGGACUUGCGUCUGAUUAGUUAGUUGGUGAGGUAACAGCUCACCAAGGCAACGAUCAGUAGCCGGCUUGAGAGAGUGUACGGCCACAUUGGGACUGAGACACGGCCCAGACUCCUACGGGAGGCAGCAGUGGGGAAUUUUGCACAAUGGGGGAAACCCUGAUGCAGCGACGCCGCGUGAUUUAGAAGGCCUUCGGGUUGUAAAAAUCUUUUGUAUGGGAAGAAAAUGACAGUACCAUACGAAUAAGGACCGGCUAAUUACGUGCCAGCAGCCGCGGUAAUACGUAAGGUCCGAGCGUUGUCCGGAAUCAUUGGGCGUAAAGGGUACGUAGGCGGGUAAGCAAGUUAGAAGUGAAAUCCUAUAGCUCAACUAUAGUAAGCUUUUAAAACUGCUUAUCUUGAGAUAUGGAAGGGAAAGUGGAAUUCCUAGUGUAGCGGUGAAAUGCGCAGAUAUUAGGAGGAAUACCGGUGGCGAAGGCGACUUUCUGGCCAUAAUCUGACGCUGAGGUACGAAAGCGUGGGUAGCAAACAGGAUUAGAUACCCUGGUAGUCCACGCCGUAAACGAUGAGUGUUAGGUGUCUGGAAUAAUCUGGGUGCCGCAGCUAACGCAU